rnacentral:misc_RNA from 1 species
GAUGAAGAACGUAGUGAAAUGCGAUACUUGGUGUGAAUUGCAGAAUCCCGUGAACCAUCGAGUCUUUGAACGCAAGUUGCGCCCGAAGCCAUUAGGCCGAGGGCACGCCUGCCUGGGCGUCACACGUCGUUGCCCCCCCAUCUACUCCUCCGGGAUUGCGGGGGGCGGAUGAUGGCCUCCCGUGCGCCACGCCGCGCGGUUGGCAUAAAUGCCAAGUCCUCGGCGACGCACGCCACGACAAUCGGUGGUUGCGAAACCUCGGUUGCCCGUCGUGUGCGGUCGUCGCGCAUCGAGGGCUCGAAAAAAUUGCCGGGUUCCGGCUCGGCUUUCAACGCGACCCCAGGUCAGGCGGGGUUACCCGCUGAAUUUAAGCAUAUCAAAGCGGGGA